rnacentral:ncRNA from 1 species
ACGCUCUGUAACUCUCGAUUAAAAGGGAAUCAGGUGCAAAUCCCGAACAGUCCCGCUGCUGUGAGUUCCAAAUAUCUCUGAUGGCAAAUCGAGCCACUGUCUUUUGGGUAAAGGAAGAUGGGAAGGCGCUAUCGGAGGGAGCGAGUCAGAAGACCUGCCGUUGUUUU